GCAUGACUCCCCAUCCCUUAAGGGGAGGCUGCACACAGUGACCUCCUUCCAGAGAGGUCACUAUGACAAGGUGGAGAGAGGGAGCUUUACAGAGGAGGAGUCUGAACACAUGACCUCAGCCAGCUGAUCAAGGUCACACAGGAACGACAAAUCACAGGCCCUUGAGAAGGUGUGAGAAGUGCAUUCAGCCUACCCUAUCUUCCUCCACCAAACCCCCAAGGUUCAGUGGAAGGCCGGGCAUGGGUGAUACCCACCUGUAAUCCCAGCGGCUUAGGAGGCUGAGGCAGGAGGAUCAUGUGUUCAAAGCCAGCCUCAGCAGCUUAGCAAGGACCUAAGUAAGUUAGCAAGACCCUGUCUCUAAAUAAAAAAUAAGAAGCAAGACGGGCAUGGUGGUACACACCUGUAAUCCCAGUGGCUUGGGAGGCUGAGGCUGGAGGAUCAUGAGUUCAAAGCCAGCAACAGCGUCAGCAACAGCGAUGCACUAAGCAACUCAGUGAGACCCUGUCUCUAAAUAAAACACAAAAUAGGGCUGGGGAUGUGGCUCAGUGCUUAAGCACGCCUGGGUUCAAUCCCUGGUAACCCCCACCACCACCAACAACAAAACAAAACAAAAA
rnacentral:lncRNA from 1 species